UACACCGAGUGUUGCCCAAUCCGCGAACCUUCUCUCCGGAGCCAGCGUCGUCGGUAACUUCGGCCUCUCCCUGAGCACCUACACUCCGGCAGAGGCGGGGGAAGAGGCGACCUGCAGAAGCCCUCCAUCGAGCCCCUAUGCGAGUUCCUCCUGUGCGGACGCCGUCGCCGACCUCGAAGUCUACGAAGCGUAGCGCACCGGCAAGCCCAACGAGGCCCUUCGUCGACCCGCUCUGCGGGCUCUUCCCACGUAGACGCCAUCACCCCGAGCACCUGCACACCGGCGGAAGUGGGUGAAGUGGCGACCCAUCCGUGGAUUUCUGUGGUACCGGCACCCUCAGCAAACAGGGCCUCUCCCCCAGCACCUGCACGCCAGCGGAAGUGCGUGAAGCGGUGACCCGACGACGCCCUACAAAGAGCCUCUCCGCGGGUCCUUCCCGUGCCGGCGCCCUCGGCUACCUCGGCCUCUUCCAAGUGUAGCGAGUCGCCGAACCUAUCGACUGAUUCCAACCAUGUCGCACACUUCCUGAAGCUUGGACUCCGGCAGACCUCCUGAAGUUCGGCCUCCCGUAGCUAGCUCCAAGGGAAUAGCCUGACGAAGCAUAAAAGGUUAAUGCCUUAUUGGAACCUGCAAAACUGCUGCCUGUUUGGGAUUUUUUGAGAGUCGCCAGGUUAGCAUCCAACCAUCUGAAGCAGAUUUACAUCUUUACAAUAUAUGUUUCUAUUGAAAAAAAUACAUGUCCAUUGAGGAUCCAAGAAUAUUAAAAUUCAUUCUUCAAUUUUUUUUUCUACACUAAGUUUCACAGUUUUGUUGCUGACAGUAAUUUUUAUAGUUAUUCCCUUUGGAUGAUACUUACUAUUUGUAUAUGUCAUGCUUCUGUCAAUAUGUAAUAAUACUCACCUUGAUCAAAAUGUUACUUCUUUAGGCCAAUGCAGUCCACUGAGGAUCCAAGAAUAUUGAAAUUCAUGCUUCCAUUUUUUUCUACACUAAGUCUCACAGUUUUUUCAUUGACAGUAAUUUUUGUAGUUAUUCCCUUUGGAUGAUACUUAUUAUUUGUAUAUGUCAUGCUUCUGUCAGCAUGUAAUAAUACUUAUUUGUCAAUUGUACGUAUUUUCUGAUCAAAAUGUUGUUUUUCCUGUAAAUUUUCCACCCCAGACUUAACCACUAGGUUUACUCACCCUCCUUCCAUUGUUUUGCAAGAUUCUUCCUCUUUCUGUAGAACCGGAAAGGAAUCUCAAUUUGUAUUAAGAAAAAUCUGGGUGAGUUCAACCUGUCAACUUACAAUAUUCUAAAUUCAUUUGAUAGUUUUUGUUAUGUUACAGAAAUGCAAUACAAAAAAUGAUGCAUACUUUUCUUAGUUGCUAAAAAGGUUAAUCCAAAAAAAUAUUCAUAAAGAUGUUUGGCUUGCCUGUUGAUCGUUAGAUAAGGUUCUCAUGGGCUUGACCUAUUUAACUUCAGCAACAACUGCAAGUGUAAAACGAGCUACAAUCAUAAAGAGAUCAACUCAUAUGGGUAUUUGGACUGAAUUGUAAACUCUAAGUUGUUGGGUCAAGAAAAUUCUCCCUGAAUAGAGUUGCCUAGAGCUCCGAACCACUCAUGCAAGGCUUCAAUUAUUGUGUAAUCUGGAUUUGUUGC